rnacentral:rRNA from 1 species
GACGAACGCUGGCGGCGUGCCUAAUACAUGCAAGUCGAGCGGACUUUCAAGAAGCUUGCUUUUUGAAAGUUAGCGGCGGACGGGUGAGUAACACGUGGGCAACCUGCCUGCAAGACGGGGAUAACUCCGGGAAACCGGGGCUAAUACCGGAUAAUAUCUUCCUUCGCAUGAAGGAAGGUUGAAAGGCGGCGCAAGCUGCCGCUUGCAGAUGGGCCCGCGGCGCAUUAGCUAGUUGGUGAGGUAACGGCUCACCAAGGCGACGAUGCGUAGCCGACCUGAGAGGGUGAUCGGCCACACUGGGACUGAGACACGGCCCAGACUCCUACGGGAGGCAGCAGUAGGGAAUCUUCCGCAAUGGACGAAAGUCUGACGGAGCAACGCCGCGUGAGCGAAGAAGGGCUUCGGAUCGUAAAGCUCUGUUGUCAGGGAAGAACAAGUACCGUUCGAACAGGGCGGUACCUUGACGGUACCUGACCAGAAAGCCACGGCUAACUACGUG